rnacentral:rRNA from 1 species
UCCUCCUACGGGGGGCAGCAGUGAGGAAUAUUGGUCAAUGGGAGAGAUCCUGAACCAGCCAAGCCGCGUGAGGAAGACGGCCCUAUGGGUUGUAAACCUCUUUUGUCGGAGAACAAAACCCGGGACGAGUCCCGGACUGCGUGUAUCCGAAGAAAAAGCAUCGGCUAACUCCGUGCCAGCAGCCGCGGUAAUACGGAGGAUGCGAGCGUUAUCCGGAUUUAUUGGGUUUAAAGGGUGCGCAGGCGGAUUUUUAAGUCAGCGGUCAAAUCGUGGGGCUCAACCCCAUCCAGCCGUUGAAACUGGGG